GGUGGAGGAGGUGGAGUGGGUGUUACAGUAGUGGAAUUUUGGGCAGUGACAUGGAUGGAUUGGUAGCUAGUGGUUGUGAGGUGGAGUUUAGGGCAGUGGGUGAAUGUGGAGUGGGGUGGAGAGGUUGCUGGGUGGAAUGGGUGGAUGUGGAGGGGGUGGAAAGGUUGCUGGGUGGAGUGGGUGGUUGUGGAGGGGGGUGGAGAGGUUGCUGGGAGGAGUGGGUGGAUGUGGAGGGGGUGGAAAGGUUGCUGGGUGGAGUGGGUGGUUGUGGAGGGGGUGGAAAGGUUGCUGGGUGGAAGUGAGGUGGAUGUGGAGGGGUUAAAAGGUUGCUGGGUGGAGUGGGUGGAUCUGGGGUGGACUUUCAAAGGUUGCAGAGGGGAGUGGAUGGAGUGGUUGUCGUGGGUGGCUGUGGGACAACUUCUGAGGCUGCGAAGUGGAGUGGGUGGAGUCUAAAGCUUGUCAGGUGGAGUGGGA